GCCCUGGUAGCACAAUCCUGGCAGUGCACCCGCAUUCUAUCCGAAAAAACCCACGAAGAUUUACUUCGCGGGGGAUGUUCGUUCGAGUCGAACCUGGGGCU